rnacentral:rRNA from 1 species
GUGUCAGCCGCCGCGGUAAUACGGAGGGUGCAAGCGUUAUUCGGAAUUACUGGGCGUAAAGCGCGUGCAGGCGGCUUGGAAAGUCUGAUGUGAAAGCCCCGGGCUUAACCUGGGAAGUGCAUUGGAAACUCUCAAGCUUGAGUACUGGAGAGGAAGGGAGAAUUCCCGGUGUAGAGGUGAAAUUCGUAGAGAUCGGGAGGAACACCAGUGGCGAAGGCGCCCUUCUGGACAGAUACUGACGCUGAGACGCGAAAGCGUGGGGAGCAAACAGGAUUAGAAACCCCCGUAGUCC